UACGAGGGGGGCGAGCGUUGUUCGGAAUUAUUGGGCGUAAAGGGUGCGUAGGCGGUUUGGUAAGUCUGAUGUGAAAUCUAUGGGCUCAACUCAUAGUCUGCAUCGGAAACUGCCGGGCUUGAGUGUGGGAGAGGAGACUGGAAUUCCUGGUGUAGCAGUGAAAUGCGUAGAUAUCAGGAGGAAUACCGAUGGCGAAGGCAGGUCUCUGGGCUGACACUGACGCUCAUGCACGAAAGCGUGGGGAGCAAACAGG
rnacentral:rRNA from 1 species